UUAAAAAGCUCGUAGUUGGAUUUCGGCGGGUAUGGUUGGUUUGAAUUGAUUCAACACUGACUUUUUUACCCGUGUGUUUUGCCAGAAUCUUACGGGUGAUCUUUACCGAUUGUCCGUUGGAACUGGCAGGUUUACUUUGAAAAAAUUAGAGUGCUCAAAGCAAGCUUACUGCUUGAAUGGUUGCGCAUGGAAUAAUAGAAUAGGAAGUCGUUUCUAUUUUGUUGGUUUUCGGAAAUCGACUUAAUGAUUAAUAGGGAUAGUCGGGGGCAUUCGUAUUCAAACGACAGAGGUGAAAUUCUUGGACCGUUUGAAGACGAACUAAGGCGAAAGCAUUUGCCAAGAAUGUUUUCAUUAAUCAAGAACGAAAGUUAGAGGUUCGAAGGCGGAUAUUAAGAUACCGCCCUAGUUCUAACCAUAAACGAUGCCAGCUAGCGAUCUGCCGGCGCUUA
rnacentral:rRNA from 1 species